rnacentral:RNase_P_RNA from 1 species
AAAGCAGACCGUUCUAUCGCUAUCCCGUUGUAAUUAAUGGGAGAGAGGAAAGUCCGGACAACACAGAGCACCAGGCUUCCUAACCGGAAGAUACCCGUGAGGGUAUAGUAAUGGAGCAGAAAAUAACCGUCCGCCAGCUGGCGGAUAAGGGUGAAAAGGUGAGGUAAGAGCUCACCGGUCCUCCGGGUGACCGGGGGAGCCGUUCAUCUCCUGGUUUGAAAGACCAUGUAUACCGGUGCCUGAGGGCUGCUCGUCCGAUGCCGGGGGGUAGGUCGCUUGAUCCCGCAGGCAACUGCGGGACCAGAUAAAUGAUAGAAGUCCUGUCCAGUGUCUUUUACAGACAACGGAUCAGGAAACAGAAUCCGGCUUACAAGUCUGCUUUUAUU